AGUCACUGACAUUAGAUACCCCGGUAGUCCUAGCCGUAAACGAUACUCGCUAGGUGUCGGCCACGGUGCGACCGUUGUCGGUGCCGUAGGGAAGCCGUGAAGCGAGCCACCUGGGAAGUACGGCCGCAAGGCUGAAACUUAAAGGAAUUGGCGGGGGAGCACAACAACGGGUGGAGCUUGCGGUUUAAUUGGAUUCAACGCCGGAAAUCUUACCGGGACCGACAACAACAUGAAGGCCAAGCUGAAGACUUUGCCGGAUUAGCUG
rnacentral:rRNA from 1 species